UACGUAGGCAGCGAGCGUUGUUCGGAGUUACUGGGCGUAAAGGGUGUGUAGGCGGUUGUUUAAGUUCGGUGUGAAAUCUCCCGGCUCAACUGGGAGGGUGCGCCGAAUACUGAAUGACUUCGAGUGCGGGAGAGGAAAGUGGAAUUCCUGGUGUAGCGGUGAAAUGCGUAGAUAUCAGGAGGAACACCGGUGGUGUAGACGGCUUUCUGGACCGUAACUGACGCUGAGACACGAAAGCGUGGGUAGCAAACAGG
rnacentral:rRNA from 1 species